GAUUAUGGCUCAGGAUUAACGCUGGCGGCGUGCCUAAUACAUGCAAGUCGAAUGGUAGUAGCAAUACAAACCAUGGCGAACGGGUGAGUAACACGUAGGUAACCUGCCUUUAAGACGAGGAUAACCGUUGGAAACGACGGAUAAUACUGGAUAGGACAUUAAUGGGGCAUCCCAAAAUGUUUAAAGAUUAUUAUGUCACUUAGAGAGGGGCCUGCGGCGCAUUAGCUAGUUGGUGAGAUAACAGCCCACCAAGGCGAUGAUGCGUAGCCGGACUGAGAGGUUGAACGGCCACAAUGGGACUGAGAACGGCCCAUACUCCUACGGGAGGCAGCAGUAGGGAAUUUUCGGCAAUGGGCGCAAGCCUGACCGAGCAACGCCGCGUGAACGAAGAAGUUAUUCGUAAUGUAAAGUUCUUUUAUCUGGGAAGAAAAAACAAAUUGACUGUACCAGAUGAAUAAGCUCCGGCUAACUACGUGCCAGCCGCGGC
rnacentral:rRNA from 1 species